rnacentral:misc_RNA from 1 species
AACGCAUAUUGCGCUCGAGACUUCGGUCGAGAGCAUGUCUGUCUCAGCGUCGGCUCACCCCUCGCCCGCCCUUUUCCCGUUUCGAAACGCAAAAGCGGCGGCGGACGUGGCCGUCUCGGUCGCGAGACCGGGUCGGCUGAAGCGCAGGGCUCGCGGCGCGACCCUCUCCUCCGAAAGGGCGCCAGCAUGGUAGGUGGCUCCCAGCCGCAUGCCGCUGUCGGUCCUUUUGGCAGGGCCAGAGGCCAGCUGCCCGCACGGCCAGCAAGCAGGAAACCCGCGGCGGCGCCCUUCGGCGCCUUCGCACAAAUCCUUCGACCUGAGAUCAGACAAGACCACCCGCUGAACUUAA